GAUGAACGCUGGCGGCGUGCCUAAUACAUGCAAGUCGAGCGAACAGAUGAGGAGCUUGCUCCUCUGACGUUAGCGGCGGACGGGUGAGUAACACGUGGAUAACCUACCUAUAAGACUGGGAUAACUUCGGGAAACCGGAGCUAAUACCGGAUAAUAUAUUGAACCGCAUGGUUCAAUAGUGAAAGACGGUUUUGCUGUCACUUAUAGAUGGAUCCGCGCCGCAUUAGCUAGUUGGUAAGGUAACGGCUUACCAAGGCGACGAUGCGUAGCCGAACUGAGAGGGGGAUCCGCCACACUGGAACUGAGACACGGGCCAGACUCCUAAGGGAGGGAGCAGGGGGGAAUAUUGGACAAUGGGGGGAAAGCUGAUCGAGCAAACCCGCGGGGGGGAAGAAGGCCUUUGGGUUGGAAAACCCUUUUUUUGGGGAAAAAAAAAAGUGGUAUGAAACUACGCCGGUCUGAAGGUACCCAAAUAAGAAGCACCGGCUAACUUCGUG
rnacentral:rRNA from 1 species